AGAGUUUGAUCAUGGCUCAGAUUGAACGCUGGCGGCAGGCCUAACACAUGCAAGUCGAACGGUAACAGGAAGAAGCUUGCUUCUUUGCUGACGAGUGGCGGACGGGUGAGUAAUGUCUGGGAAACUGCCUGAUGGAGGGGGAUAACUACUGGAAACGGUAGCUAAUACCGCAUAACGUCGCAAGACCAAAGAGGGGGACCUUCGGGCCUCUUGCCAUCGGAUGUGCCCAGAUGGGAUUAGCUAGUAGGUGGGGUAACGGCUCACCUAGGCGACGAUCCCUAGCUGGUCUGAGAGGAUGACCAGCCACACUGGAACUGAGACACGGUCCAGACUCCUACGGGAGGCAGCAGUGGGGAAUAUUGCACAAUGGGCGCAAGCCUGAUGCAGCCAUGCCGCGUGUAUGAAGAAGGCCUUCGGGUUGUAAAGUACUUUCAGCGGGGAGGAAGGGAGUAAAGUUAAUACCUUUGCUCAUUGACGUUACCCGCAGAAGAAGCACCGGCUAACUCCGUGCCAGCAGCCGCGGUAAUACGGAGGGUGCGAGCGUUAAUCGGAAUUACUGGGCGUAAAGCGCACGCAGGCGGUUUGUUAAGUCAGAUGUGAAAUCCCCGGGCUCAACCUGGGAACUGCAUCUGAUACUGGCAAGCUUGAGUCUCGUAGAGGGGGGUAGAAUUCCAGGUGUAGCGGUGAAAUGCGUAGAGAUCUGGAGGAAUACCGGUGGCGAAGGCGGCCCCCUGGACGAAGACUGACGCUCAGGUGCGAAAGCGUGGGGAGCAAACAGGAUUAGAUACCCUGGUAGUCCACGCCGUAAACGAUGUCGACUUGGAGGUUGUGCCCUUGAGGCGUGGCUUCCGGAGCUAACGCGUUAAGUCGACCGCCUGGGGAGUACGGCCGCAAGGUUAAAACUCAAAUGAAUUGACGGGGGCCCGCACAAGCGGUGGAGCAUGUGGUUUAAUUCGAUGCAACGCGAAGAACCUUACCUGGUCUUGACAUCCACAGAACUUUCCAGAGAUGGAUUGGUGCCUUCGGGAACUGUGAGACAGGUGCUGCAUGGCUGUCGUCAGCUCGUGUUGUGAAAUGUUGGGUUAAGUCCCGCAACGAGCGCAACCCUUAUCUUUUGUUGCCAGCGGUCCGGCCGGGAACUCAAAGGAGACUGCCAGUGAUAAACUGGAGGAAGGUGGGGAUGACGUCAAGUCAUCAUGGCCCUUACGACCAGGGCUACACACGUGCUACAAUGGCGCAUACAAAGAGAAGCGACCUCGCGAGAGCAAGCGGACCUCAUAAAGUGCGUCGUAGUCCGGAUUGGAGUCUGCAACUCGACUCCAUGAAGUCGGAAUCGCUAGUAAUCGUGGAUCAGAAUGCCACGGUGAAUACGUUCCCGGGCCUUGUACACACCGCCCGUCACACCAUGGGAGUGGGUUGCAAAAGAAGUAGGUAGCUUAACCUUCGGGAGGGCGCUUACCACUUUGUGAUUCAUGACUGGGGUGAAGUCGGAACAAGGUAACCGUAGGGGAACCUGCGGUUG
rnacentral:rRNA from 1 species